ACUGGACUAUUUUUUAUGUCACACUUUGAUAAGCACAGGAUUGUAAAUUGUGAUAUAGGGCUGAGAGAUAUUUCGGACCAUGCAGGCGUGUACCUGACACUCCAUCUGCACUCAUGGACGCUUCAUAUUGGUCUACUAAAGGAUGUAAAAUUCAAAAGGUUUGUAAAAGAAGAAUUUAAGGAAUACAUGGACUAUAAUAACAAUGGUGAUGUUUCUCCUCAGUAUUUUAUGGGAUGCAGCGAAGGCAGUUCUUAGAGGGAAUCUAGUUUUGUGGUCCUCAUAUAAAAAAAGGAAACAGAGAAACAUCUAAAAGACCUCAUUGAAAAGUAACAAUGAUGACACCUUAUCACAAAUGAAAGAAGCACAACAGAUAUUAAACAGGUUAUAUGAUGACCAAAUAGAGAAAAGGGCUAAAUUCAUGCAGAAUUAUUAUGAAAAUGGUCCCAAAUCCAAGAAGCCAAGAGGAAACAGCAGGCUGACAGAUUUAUUCAGAGAAUUAAAAACCCAGCAAAUGAUAAGAUAUGACAUGAAAAGCAUAAAGAAUCUUUUGUGACCUAUUAUACCCGACUGUACGCAGAACCCACCACGACAGAUGUGCCCUCUGUUAAUGCAUUUCUUUCCUUGAUUUACCAUCGAUAGGAACAAAAUAAAAGAUUAACACCAACAGUAACUGCGGAGGAGAUUAACCAGGCCGUUUCAAAUAAGAUGGCCGGUGAGGACGGCUACCCGGCAGAGUGGUACAAGCAGAGAUCUCGUAGCCCCUCUGCUGAGGGUUUGCUUUAACCAUGUGCUUACAGGGGGAGAUACCCCCAUCCUGGAAACGAGCAGGUAUUUCAGUAAUUCCCAAACCGGGUAAGAACAAAACAGAACGUGGUUCCUACAGACCCAUAUCAGUCGUGAAUAUUGACUACAGGAUAUUUGCAACACUAUUAGCUAAACAGUUGGAAUUUAUAACUUCAGAACUAGCAGAUACAGAUCAAACAGGCUUUGUUCGAAACGGACAAACUCACGAUGAUGUGAGGCGGGCUCUCGUUCUAGUAAACAAAAUAAAAAAUAUCAAAUCAGUAGCUGUCUGACUGUCUGACUGCUGGAAUGGAAGUGUGGGGAAAUAAAAAUACAACUAAUCCAUGAGUCACAGUACAGAAACGAGCACUGCGUAUUAUUCACAAGGCUGGUUAUCUAGAUCAUACUCACAAACUCUUUCUUCAGGCAAAGUUACUUAAAUUCCAGGAUCUGGUUAAUUACAAUACAUCCAUAAUUU
ensembl:lncRNA